CGAUUCAUUAGUGGCAAUUUUUUAGUUGGCGCAUGGGUGACUGCCGGUAGAAAUUUUAAGUCUUUCUUUGGCAGUGCCGCUUAAACCCCGCGAAACCCAGGAUUUUCCCUCUCCCUCUCCCUCUCCCUCUUUUCUAAUUUCUCACCCUUUCAUAUUCCCACUCUCCUCUCUCUUUCUCUCUUAGUCGACUAGUUUUUCACCUCUUAUUCCCAAUCUCCCUCUCUCUCUCUCUCUCUCUCAACCAUUUCUGAUUUCUCAUCAGCAACGAAAUCUCCUUGGAUCUUAAGUUUGAGUUCAUUUCCCAAUGCAAAAGACUUCUCAUAAUCACGCCACAAUCUUAUUGAUUCAACGAAGUCCCUCUCUCUCCAACAAUCUUCGUUGGAUUUUCUUUUUUCUAAAACAACCUCCUCGUCUUAGGUUCUCACAUCUCACAUCCUUGUUCAUUCAUCACCGGAAAAAGGAAAAAACCAGGUUUGAGUACAUAUGCCAAUGAUCCCUAAAAGGUUGUAGAUUCUUAGCUAUCUCUUUUGGAGCAAGUAGAAUAUGGUGUUCCUAAAGAGUUGUGUCACAAGACACCAGUCAGAGUUGGGCAAUGGUAGGUUUGAGGGCAUUGGGAGGUGAUGCUUCAGAUAGAAUUUUGCAAGUGGUUAGGGAUUUUCAUGAAGACAAAAGUUCCCUGAAGUCAAAACCAGAGUGGGCUUUCUAUGAUUUGAUGAUGUGGGAGAAGCGAUGUGGUAUCUUACUGGAUGGAAUAGCAUAGAUGCAGCAAGGAUGACUCCAUUACCACCAUGAAGAAGGAUUAGAGACCCAGAUUUUUUUCUCUCUCUUACAGGGAAUUUAUACUGUUUAUGUUGAGAAGCUAUGUAGAGGUGGAAAUCUAUUGGAUUUUGCAAGAUUACUACAUCAUCUACGCAAUAAGUAGGUAUUAUUGAGUGAAAAUUCAUAUAAUGCCCUCUUGAUGGCCGCUGGUUAAGGGAAUGAUUUUGAGCUUCUGUUUUAAAUAUUCAAGGAUUUCUUGGUCUCUUGUCAAACUUUGAGUUCAAUUUCAUAUUUUAAUCUUGCCAAGGGCCUUUCAAAGGCAACAAA